rnacentral:tRNA from 1 species
AUUUAUUUAGUAUAAUAAGUACAUUUGAUUUCCAAUCUUAAGGUCUUUUUCAAGAAUAAAUA